rnacentral:rRNA from 1 species
AACGAACGCUGGCGGCAUGCCUAACACAUGCAAGUCGAACGAGACCUUCGGGUCUAGUGGCGCACGGGUGCGUAACGCGUGGGAACCUUCCCUUAGGUUCGGAAUAACUCCCCGAAAGGGGUUCUAAUACCGGAUAAUGUCUUCGGACCAAAGAUUUAUCGCCUUUGGAUGGGCCCGGGUUGUAUUAGCUAGUUGGUAGGGUAAAAGCCUACUAAGGCGACGAUCCAUAGCUGGUCUGAGAGGAUGAUCAGCCACACGGGGACUGAGACACGGCCCAGACUCCUACGGGAGGAAGCAGUGGGGAAUAUUGGACAAGGGGCGAAGGCCUAAUCAAGCAAUGCGGGGGGAGUGAUGAAGGCCUUAGGGUUGUAAAGGUCUUUUACCCGGGAUGAUAAUGACAGUACCGGAAGAAUAAGCUCCGGCUAACUCCGUG